rnacentral:lncRNA from 1 species
GGGGCGGGGAGCCGAGGAAGGGCGCACGCACGGCAGCCGGCGGGAACUGGCCUGUCCCGGCAGCCGGGCGGGAGGCUCUGCGGGCGGCCGCCCAGGUGGGGGGCUCCCAGGCAGCCAGGGCCUCGGACCGCAGCCGUUCCCCGCCCAGGCCCCGGGAGCAGCUUCCAAACCCUGGCCACACUUUCUGUCCAUCCCCGCGUCACCCAGGGACUUCAUGCGGUCGGGGCUUUUCUGUCUGACCGACGACUCGCCCUAAAAGGAGAGGCAAUAAAAUAUCUACCUCGGAGGUUUGUAAAAGUAAAGGAAGAAGUGCGGGAAGUGUCCUAACAGUCACAUCCGUUACUGCCCUGUGAAUGUUCAGAGUCAUUGUCCAAAUCCGAGCAACUGCUGUGUGCUGUAGAAGACAAGGCCAGUCGGGAGUCCUCAAGCCUAUAUUUCCAGGCACACCAGAAAGGUGAUUCCUAACAUGACACUGCAGAAAUAUUGGGCUGAGGCUGACGGAUUUCAAGAACAGGAGCUGGAAAGAGUGACUAUUCACAAGAGUCCUGGUCUGACCACUGGGGCAUGAACUCAAUCCCUUCC